rnacentral:misc_RNA from 4 species
GCGGAGGAAAAGAAACCAACAGGGAUUGCCUUAGUAACGGCGAGUGAAGCGGCAACAGCUCAAAUUUGAAAUCUGGCUCCUUCGGGGUCCGAGUUGUAAUUUGCAGAGGAUGCUUCGAGUUAUGGUUCCUUCCGAGUUCCCUGGAACGGGACGCCAUAGAGGGUGAGAGCCCCGUCUGGUAGGAAACCAUGCUCAUGUGAAGCUCCCUCGACGAGUCGAGUAGUUUGGGAAUGCUGCUCUAAGGGGAGGUAUACUCCUUCCAAGGCUAAAUACCGGCUAGAGACCGAUAGCGCACAAGUAGAGUGAUCGAAAGAUGAAAAGUACUUUGAAAAGAGAGUCAAACAGCACGUGAAAUUGUUAAAAGGGAAGCGCUCGCUACCAGACGUGGGUUCGGUGGUUCAACCAGGUCCAUGACCUGGGGCACUCCGCCGGCCCAGGCCAGCAUCAGCUUUCCGUCGGGGGCAAAGGCGUCGGGAAUGUGGCUCUCCUUCGGGGGAGUGUUAUAGCCCGUCGCGUCAUACCCUUCGGGGGGCUGAGGUACGCGCUCCGCAAGGAUGCUGGCGUAAUGGUAGCUAGUGACCCGUCUUGAAACACGGACCAAGGAGUCAACCUUAUGUGCGAGUGCCCGGGCGUAAAACCCCAGCGCGGAAUGAAAGUGAACGUAGGUGAGAGCUUCGGCGCAUCACCGACCGAUCCUGAUGUCCUCGGACGGAUUUGAGUGAGAGCAUAUAGGGUUGGACCCGAAAGAAGAUGAACUAUGCGUGUGUAGGGUGAAGCCAGAGGAAACUCUGGUGGAGGCUCGCAGCGGUUCUGACGUGCAAAUCGA